rnacentral:rRNA from 1 species
CGGGGUGCAGCAGGCGCGAAACCUCUGCAAUAGGCGAAAGCCUGACAGGGUUACUCUGAGUGAUGCCCGCUAAGGGUAUCUUUUGGCACCUCUAAAAAUGGUGCAGAAUAAGGGGUGGGCAAGUCUGGUGUCAGCCGCCGCGGUAAUACCAGCACCCCGAGUUGUCGGGACGAUUAUUGGGCCUAAAGCAUCCGUAGCCUGUUCUACAAGUCCUCCGUUAAAUCCACCUGCUCAACAGAUGGGCUGCGGGGGAUACUAUAGGGCUAGGAGGCGGGAGAGGCAAACGGUACUCAGUGGGUAGGGGUAAAAUCCAUUGAUCUACUGAAGACCACCAGUGGCGAAGGCGGUUUGCCAGAACGCGCUCGACGGUGAGGGAUGAAAGCUGGGGGAGCAAACCGGAUUAGAUACCCGGGUAGUCCCAGCUGUAAACGAUGCAGACUCGGUGAUGGGUUGGCUUCGCGCCAACCCAGUGCCGCAGGGAAGCCGUUAAGUCUGCCGCCUGGGGAGUACGGUCGCAAGACUGAAACUUAAAGGAAUUGGCGGGGGAGCAC